rnacentral:rRNA from 1 species
UACGUAGGGUGCAAGCGUUGUCCGGAAUUAUUGGGCGUAAAGAGCUUGUAGGCGGUUUGUCGCGUCUGCUGUGAAAUUUCGGGGCUCAACCCCGAACUUGCAGUGGGUACGGGCAGACUAGAGUGUGGUAGGGGAGACUGGAAUUCCUGGUGUAGCGGUGAAAUGCGCAGAUAUCGGGAGGAACACCUAUGGCGAAGGCAGCUCGCUGGGACGUUACUGACGCUGAGGAGCGAAAGCGUGGGGAGCGAACAGG